AUUUUUUGUCAUGUUUGGCAAACGUGCAAAUCGUGAUCCGUCGAAGAGGAAGGGAACAGUAUUUGUGUUCCUUGAGUUUAGUGAGCCCUAAGCAUUGGAGAAAAAGAUAAUUCUACAAGUCAGGAAAGAUGAACACCAAACUACAAAUGUUAUUGCUAACUGCUGUAUUCCUAGCUUGCUUAGUGGGCCGAGCCGAAUGUUUUUGGGAUUGCAAGCCACCAUUUUGUGUUGGACGCAAAAGAUUCUUUGGGAAGCUGUCCAGAGGAAAAAGUGAUAAACCACAUGAAACAGAAAACCGUCGAAUCGCUUUAGAGGACGCAGAUUUUGUACGCGUUCGUCCCCUGUAAUGUCGUGAAAGGAAAAUGAUGAGGAUAAGUUGAAGCAGGGAAGCUUAACAGUGCUGUCUCUGAGAAUCUAAUUUAACCUAGGCAGUGGAAAAAAUAACAAUUGUAAAUACUGCAUUAAAUGUUAAAAAACCAUUAACACGUAUUGAAAAUUUUAUUGAAAAGUAAAGUAGACUUAUGAUUUAAAUAUUUACUUUUUAAUUUAGUCAUCUAACUUUCUUGUCCUCCUCAAGUAUUCAAACGUUUCCAAGUAAGCUGGAUUCUUCAUGCAUUAAACA